CAGCACCUCAAGUGGUCAGGAUGAUUAUUGGGCCUAAAGCAUCCGUAGCCGGCUCUGUAAGUUUUCGGUUAAAUCUGUACGCUCAACGUACAGGCUGUCGGGAAUACUGCAGAGCUAGGGAGUGGGAGAGGUAGACGGUACUCGGUAGGAAGGGGUAAAAUCCUUUGAUCUAUUGAUGACCACCUGUGGCGAAGGCGGUCUACCAGAACACGUCCGACGGUGAGGGAUGAAAGCUGGGGGAGCAAACCGGAUUAGAUACCCGCGUAGUCC
rnacentral:rRNA from 1 species